GGAAUAUUGGACAAUGGGCGAAAGCCUGAUCCAGCCAUGCCGCGUGUGUGAAGAAGGCCUUCGGGUUGUAAAGCACUUUUGUUGGGGAAGAAAAGCACUGGGUUAAUACCCCGGUGUCAUGACGGUACCCAAAGAAUAAGCCCCGGCUAACUUCGUGCCAGCAGCCGCGGUAAUACGAAGGGUGCAAGCGUUACUCGGAAUUACUGGGCGUAAAGCGUGCGUAGGUGGUUUGUUAAGUCUGAUGUGAAAGCCCUGGGCUCAACCUGGGAAUUGCAUUGGAUACUGGCAGUCUAGAGUGCGGUAGAGGGUAGCGGAAUUCCCGGUGUAGCAGUGAAAUGCGUAGAUAUCGGGAGGAACAUCAGUGGCGAAGGCGGCCCUCUGGUCCAGUACUGACACUCAAGUGCGAAAGCGUGGGGAGCAAA
rnacentral:rRNA from 1 species